UACGUAGGGGGCAAGCGUUGUCCGGAUUCAUUGGGCGUAAAGAGCGUGUAGGCGGCCAGGUAGGUCGGUUGUGAAAACUGGAGGCUCAACCUUCAGAGGUCGACCGAAACCAUCUGGCUAGAGUCCGGGAGAGGAGAGUGGAAUUCCUGGUGUAGCGGUGAAAUGCGCAGAUAUCAGGAGGAACACCAAUGGCGAAGGCAGGUCUCUGGGCCACUACUGACGCUGAGAAGCGAAAGCAUGGGGAGCGAACAGG
rnacentral:rRNA from 1 species